UGCGUAGGCGGUUAGAUAAGUCAGAGGUGAAAGCCCGCAGCUCAACUGUGGAAUUGCCUUUGAUACUGUUUGACUUGAAUCAAGUUGAGGUUGGCGGAAUGUGACAUGUAGCGGUGAAAUGCAUAGAUAUGUCAUAGAACACCAAUUGCGAAGGCAGCUAACUAGACUUGUAUUGACGCUGAGGCACGAAAGCGUGGGGAGCGAACAGGAUUAGAUACCCUGGUAGUCC
rnacentral:rRNA from 1 species